rnacentral:lncRNA from 1 species
CCGUAUCUAACCUUACUUCCCUUUAAGGACCACAACUAGAAUAUGAUAUGAGAUAGAUGUAUCAAGUCUUUGUAAUGAAUACAUAAGAUUGGCAACAUGAGCUAACCAGGAUUUGUAUAGCAUCAUUGCACUUAUCAGAUCCAUCUAAGUAUCAAAUCCAUUAUCCAUCCCAUGAAAAAAAGGGAAAACUGAAAUUCGAUAUUAGAAAUUAAGAGUAAUUCUAAUCCAUUUUUAAGUUAAAAUUUUGUAACUAACAAACUAAGGCGUUGUUGUUGAUCUCAUAAUUCGAAAAUUCCUAGCUUUGAAUCAACAAAUCAUGAGUGUAAUACAUUUUUGAAAACAUUAAUUAUCCAUCUGAAUUCAUGUCAUGAAAAAAGUCAUUUCCUUGAGUUUAUCAUACUCAAAAUAACCAUUAAAACCAAUAUCUAACAUAUUCAUUAAAAGCAAUAUCUAAAGACAUGCGUAUGGGUUGUCCGUGGUAAUCCAGAUUAAAAACAGUUGUGCACACGUGGAGCCUUGUUUAUGCAAUGAAUCUUCCUAACUUGAACUUCAACAUGUUAAAUUAGAGUAACGAAUGCAUAUGUCAGAAAUAAUCUACUUUGUAAACAAUUCAUAAGUAAUUAGGAAAAAGAACCGGUUAAAUUUAUUCACCUGCUAAGAGGAACCUUUGAUGAACCAUUACUACUCCUUAGAACUCAGUAUAUGAUUAUUUGGGAAUUACGUACAAUAGUAGCCACCAUCAACACACACUGAAGUCCCUCACCUUUGAAAAAGAUAUAAACUUGUCCAAUUCCACCACUGAAAAAUGAUAGCGUUUGGUGCAUGGACUAGAUAAAAUAGAACUGUGGAUUGGAGUCAACAAAACCCAUUAUAUGUGUAAUGUUUGGUAAAC